rnacentral:lncRNA from 1 species
GUGCCACCACGCCCAGCUAAUUUUGUAUUUUUAGUAGAGACGGGGUUUCUCCAUGUUGGUCAGGCUGGUCUUGAACUCCUGGCCUCAGGUGAUCCACCUGCCUCGGCCUCCCAAAGUGCUGGGAUUACAGGCAUGAGCCACCGCGCCUUGCCUUUUUUUUUUUUUUUUUUUUUUUGAAGCAGGCUCUAGUGCUGUGGUGCUGUCUCAGCUCACUGCAGCCUCUGCCUCCUGGGGUCAAGUGAUCCUCCCAUCUCAGCCUCCCCAAUGGCCCGGCUAAUUUUUUGUAUUUUUAAAAAAGAGAGAGAGGGUUUUAUCAUGUUGCCCAGGUUGGUCUUGAACCCCUGAGAUCAAGCAAUUCAUCUGCGUCGGCCUCCCCAAGUGUUGAGAUUACAGGUGUGAACCACCGCGCCUGACCAGCAUAAUGUUUUCAAGUUUCAUUUAUGUUAUAUCAUGUAUCAGUACUUCAUCUCAUUUUAUGAUAUGGAUAUAUUACAUUUUAUAUAUUUAUUUACCAUAGUUGGUGGAUAUUUGGGUUGUUCUACUUUUUGGCUAUUAUGAAUAAUGCAGUUAUGAACAUUCACAUGCAAGUUUUGUGUGUGGGUAUAGAUUUCAUUUCUCUUGGUGUAUACCUAGGAGUAAAAUUGCUAGUUCAUAUGGUAACACUAAACUUUUUAGUACUUGCUGGGCUCUUCUUUCAAAGCAGCUGCACCAUUUCAUAUUUCCAUCAGCAGUGUAUGAGGGUUGCAAUUUCUCCAUAACCUGGCCAUCACUUGAUAUUAUCUUUUUGAUUCUAGCCAUCUUAGUGGGUAUGAAAUGGUAUCUUAUUGUAAUUUUGAUUUGUACUUCCCUGAUUGUGUUGCAUACCUUUUCAUGUAUUUAUUGUAUAUCUUCCUUGGAGAAAUGUCUAUUCAAAUCCUUUGCCCAUUUUUAAAUUGGGCUAUAUAUCUUUAUUAUUAUUAAUUAUUUUCCACAUCUUACCUGGAUCUUUUUAUUAUUGAGUUGUAUGAAUUCUUUAUACAUUCUAGAUAUAAGUCCCUUAUCAGGUACAUGAUUUGCUAACAUUUUCUCCCAUUCUGUGGGCUGUCUUUUCACUUUCUUGGUAGUGUUCUUUGCAGCAUAACAUCUUGAUGAAGUCCAGUUUAUCUGUUUUUUUUAUUUUGGUGCUUUUGCUUUUUGUGUUGUAUCUGACAAACUAUGGCCUAAUCCAAGAUCAUGAAGGUUUAUGUUUACAUUUUCUUCCAAAAGUUUUAUAGUUUUAGAACUUACGUUUAGGCCUUGAAUCCCCUUUGAAUUAAUUUUCGUAUAUGAUGUGAGGUAGGGAGUCCAACGAUCUUUUGCCUGUGGUUGUCCAGUUGUCUUAGUACCAUUUGUUGAAAAUACUAUUGAAUGGUCUAGGCGCCCUUGUUGAAAAUCAAUUGACCAAGUACAUAGGUUUAUUUCUGGACUCUAAAUUCUAUUGCAUUGACCUACCCUUAUGCCAGUACUGCAUUGUCCUGUUUGUUAUAGCUUUAUAGUAAGUUUUGACAUUGAAAGUGUGAGGCCUCCUACUUUGCUUUUUUGUUUUUAUGAUUGUUUUGGUUUUCUGGAUCUCUUGAAUUUCCAUAUGAAUUUUAGGAUAAACUUGUCAAUUUCUGCAAAAAAGCCAAUUGGAAUUUUGAGAAACCAAAUUGGAAAAAUUUGUUUAAUUAAAAAAUUUCACUACUCUGUUAUUUUAAUUUGUUUUAAAAUAAAAGCUAUAAAUGCUAAAGGAAACAUUUAAAUACCCAGUAGUUUUACAGCACUACAAAAACCCAUUCAUCCAUUAAUGAACUUUGGUAACAUGGACACAAGGUUGAUCACUUGCUUCUAAUUAGAUAUGCCUUCUGAAGAAGUCACUGGGCUUCUCUUCUUUAUUCAUCUACUAAAAAGUGAGAUAAAUUGAAUUACAUUAAGAACUAGUUACAAUUAGAAGAGUGAAAAGGCAAGCCACAGAAUUUGUAAUAUAUGCAUUUGUUAAAGGAUCUGUAUUCAGAAUAAUAAAUUGUAACAAAUCAGUAAGAAAAACAGAUCACCCAAUAGGAAAAUGGGCAAAAGACUUAAGCAGUCAAUUGACAAAAGAUGACAUAGACAUUUUUCCCACCUGUAGGCUGAAAAAUAUCCCUCCACCCAAGGAUAGAUCUACUUUUUAAUCCCUAGGACCCAUGAAUAUUAUAUGGCCAAAGAAUACAUAUUAUAUGACAAAAUAUGUGAUUAAGGUAAAGGAUCUUGAAAUGAGAAACUUAUCCUAGAUUAUCUGGAUGAGUCCUUAUGUAGAGAGAGACAGAGGGAGUUUUGAUACAGACACACACAGGAAAGGGAACAUGAAGACAGACAGAGAUUGGAAUGAUGUAGGCACAAGCCGUGGGAUCCCAGCAGUCACUGGGAACUGGAAGAGUCAAGAAAUAGAUUCUGAGGGGCUAACUGAAGCACAUGGUGGUAGUGAUGGGGCCUGGGCAUGCUGAACUAAAGUCCUAUUGCAGCUUAAGGGCACUUGGAUAUCCUGGUCCAAGCAUGAGUUGGUCUCCAGGGUGAUAAAGAGGUCACAGAUAAUCACUGUUCCACCUAUUAGAAUCUAUAACUCACCCGUCUUUCACAAUUGGAGAUGAGACUGCAGAUAACCGAAAGGGCAUAAAAGCCCAGCAGCUGGUG